GUUGACAGUGAUGAUUUGCAAAUAUUCAAGCACAACAUUCCAAAUCACAAGUUUUCUCUCAGGAGUUGAUUUUGAUGCAGCUUAUCCCGCUGAACAGAGACAUC
rfam:Triticum aestivum genome assembly, contig: Triticum_aestivum_CS42_TGACv1_scaffold_063545_1DL